GCCUACAGCCAGACUGGACUGAUUGCACCUGAUCCCAUGUGAUCUCAGAAGCUAAGCAGUCCUGGGCCCGGCUAGUACCUGGAUGGGAGACCGCCUGGGAAUCCCGUAGGCCGCCUGCC
rnacentral:rRNA from 1 species